UGCCUCAGUAACGGCGAGUGAAGCGGCAACAGCUCAAAUUUGAAAUCUGGCCGCAAGGUCCGAGUUGUAAUUUGCAGAGGAUGCUUUUGGCGAGGUGCCUUCCGAGUUCCCUGGAACGGGACGCCAUAGAGGGUGAGAGCCCCGUACGGUAGGACCACCGAGCCUUUGUAAAGCUCCUUCGACGAGUCGAGUAGUUUGGGAAUGCUGCUCUAAAUGGGAGGUGUACGUCUUCUAAAGCUAAAUACCGGCCAGAGACCGAUAGCGCACAAGUAGAGUGAUCGAAAGAUGAAAAGCACUUUGAAAAGAGGGUUAAAAAGUACGUGAAAUUGUUGAAAGGGAAGCAUUCAUGACCAGACUUGGGCUUGGUUGAACAUCCGGCGUUCUCGCCGGUGCACUCUGCCAGUCCAGGCCAGCAUCAGUUUGCCCCGGGGGACAAAGGCGGUGGGAAUGUGGCUCUCUCCGGGGAGUGUUAUAGCCCGCCGUGUAAUGCCCUGGGGCGGACUGAGGAACGCGCUUCGGCUCGGAUGCUGGCGUAAUGGUCAUCAAUGACCCGUCUUGAAACACGGACCA
rnacentral:rRNA from 1 species